rfam:Dipodomys ordii contig_66409, whole genome shotgun sequence.
GGUGGCUCAGUGGUAGAGCACUUGCCUUGCAUGCAUAAGGCCCUGGGUUCGAUUCCUUAGCACCA